rnacentral:rRNA from 1 species
GACGAACGCUGGCGGCGUGCCUAAUACAUGCAAGUCGAACGAACUCUGGUAUUGAUUGGUGCUUGCAUCAUGAUUUACAUUUGAGUGAGUGGCGAACUGGUGAGUAACACGUGGGAAACCUGCCCAGAAGCGGGGGAUAACACCUGGAAACAGAUGCUAAUACCGCAUAACAACUUGGACCGCAUGGUCCGAGCUUGAAAGAUGGCUUCGGCUAUCACUUUUGGAUGGUCCCGCGGCGUAUUAGCUAGAUGGUGGGGUAACGGCUCACCAUGGCAAUGAUACGUAGCCGACCUGAGAGGGUAAUCGGCCACAUUGGGACUGAGACACGGCC